UACGAAGGACCCGAGCGUUAUCCGGAUUUAUUGGGGUUUAAAGGGUGCGUAGGCGGAUUAGUAAGUCAGUGGUGAAAGCCCGUCGCUUAACGGCGGAACUGCCAUUGAUACUGCUAGUCUUGAGUAUGGUUGAGGUGGGGCGGAAUGUGUCAUGUAGCGGUGAAAAUGCUUAGAUAUGACCCAGAACACCAAUUCGAAGGCAGCUCGCUAA
rnacentral:rRNA from 1 species